rnacentral:rRNA from 1 species
GACGAACGCUGGCGGCGUGCUUAACACAUGCAAGUCGAGCGGUAAGGCCCCUUCGGGGGUACACGAGCGGCGAACGGGUGAGUAACACGUGAGCAAUCUGCCCUUCACACGGGGAUAACCACCGGAAACGGUGGCUAAUACCCGAUACGACCACUUCAGGCAUCUGAUGGUGGUGGAAAGUUCCGGCGGUGGAGGAUGAGCUCGCGGCCUAUCAGCUUGUUGGUGGGGUAAUGGCCUACCAAGGGAACGACGGGUAGCCGGCCUGAGAGGGUGACCGGCCACACUGGGACUAAGACACGGCCCAGACUGCUACGGGAGGCAGCAGUGGGGAAGAUUGGACAAUGGGCGAAAGCCUGAUCCAGCAACGCCGCGUGGGGGAUGACGGCCUUCGGGUUGUAAACCUCUUUCAGCAGGGACGAAGCGCAAGUGACGGUACCUGCAGAAGAAGCACCGGCCAACUACGUGCCAGCCGCCGCGGUAACAC